rnacentral:rRNA from 1 species
AGAGGUUGUUUCUGGCUCAGGAUGAACGCUGGCGGCGUGCCUAACACAUGCAAGUCGAACGAAGCACCUUUUAAGAUUCUUCGGAUGAUUGAUUGGUGACUGAGUGGCGGACGGGUGAGUAACGCGUGGGUAACCUGCCCUGUACAGGGGGAUAACAGUUGGAAACGGCUGCUAAUACCGCAUAAGCGCACGAGAGGACAUCCUUUCGUGUGAAAAACUCCGGUGGUACAGGAUGGGCCCGCGUCUGAUUAGCUGGUUGGCAGGGUAACGGCCUACCAAGGCAACGAUCAGUAGCCGGUCUGAGAGGAUGAACGGCCACAUUGGAACUGAGACACGGUCCAAACUCCUACGGGAGGCAGCAGUGGGGAAUAUUGCACAAUGGGGGAAACCCUGAUGCAGCAACGCCGCGUGAGUGAAGAAGUAUUUCGGUAUGUAAAGCUCUAUCAGCAGGGAAGAUAAUGACGGUACCUGACUAAGAAGCUCCGGCUAAAUACGUGCCAGCAGCCGCGGUAAUACGUAUGGAGCAAGCGUUAUCCGGAUUUACUGGGUGUAAAGGGUGCGUAGGUGGCAGUGCAAGUCAGAUUGUGAAAGGCCGGGGCUCAACCCCGGGAGCUGCAUUUGAAACUGCAUAGCUAGAGUACAGGAGAGGCAGGCGGAAUUCCUAGUGUAGCGGUGAAAUGCGUAGAUAUUAGGAGGAACA